AAGAAAUAACAACUUUCAACUUUGUUGAAAAGUGUAAUGAGGAUAAUUUACAAACCUUACCGAAAGCAAUUGGAGGGCAAGUCUGGUGCCAGCAGCCGCGGUAAUUCCAGCUCCAAAAGCGUAUAUUAAAGUUGUUGCAGUUAAAAAGCUCGUAGUUGAAGUUCUGGCUGUAUUGGGCCUUAGCACUUGAUGCGGAGGAACCAGCAGUCAUCCGCUUGCAAAUACAUGUCCUUCCUUAACCGGUAGGCUGUAUAAGUAAGCACUUUACCUUGAGAAAAACAGAGUGUUCCAGGCAGGUUUGUCCGGAAUGCGUUAGCAUGGAAUAAUAGAAUAUGACUGAAGUCGAUUUAUUGGUUUAAGGCUUUAGUAAUGAUUAAUAGGAACAAUCGGGGGCAUUGGUACUUGUCAGUCAGAGGUGAAAUUCUUGGAUUUAUUAAAGACUAACUUAUGCGAAGCAUUUGCAAGGAUGUUUCUUAUCAGACAAAG
rnacentral:rRNA from 1 species